UACGAAGGGGGCUAGCGUUGCUCGGAAUCACUGGGCGUAAAGCGCACGUAGGCGGAUUCCUAAGUCGGUGGUGAAAUCCUGGAGCUCAACUCCAGAACUGCCUUUGAUACUGGCAACCUUGAGUCCGGGAGAGGUGAGUGGAACUGCGAGUGUAGAGGUGAAAUUCGUAGAUAUUCGCAAGAACACCAGUGGCGAAGGCGGCUCACUGGCCCGGUACUGACGCUGAGGUGCGAAAGCGUGGGGAGCAAACAGG
rnacentral:rRNA from 1 species